rnacentral:rRNA from 1 species
UACGUAGGUUGCAAGCGUUGUCCGGAUUUACUGGGCGUAAAGGGAGCGUAGGCGGAUACUUAAGUGGGAUGUGAAAUACCUGGGCUUAACUUGGGUGCUGCAUUCCAAACUGGGUGUCUAGAGUGUUGGAGAGGAAGGUGGAAUUCCUAGUGUAGCGGUGAAAUGCGUAGAGAUUAGGAAGAACACCAGUGGCGAAGGCGACUUUCUGGACAAUAACUGACGCUGAGGCUCGAAAGCGUGGGGAGCAAACAGGAUUAGAUACCCUGGUAGUCCACGCCGUAAACGAUGGGUACUAGGUGUAGGAGGUCUCGACUCCUCCGGUGCCGCCGUUAACACAAUAAGUACCCCGCCUGGGGAGUACGGUCGCAAGAUUAAA